GACGUAGGGUGCAAGCGUUGUCCGGAUUUACUGGGCGUAAAGAGCGCGUAGGCGGUUUAUUAAGUCAGACGUGAAAGCCCUAGGCUCAACCUAGGAAUUGCGUUUGAAGCUGGUAGGCUAGAGAUUUAGAGAGGUGAGUGGAAUUCCUAGUGUAGAGGUGAAAUUCGUAGAUAUUAGGAGGAACAUCAGUGGCGAAGGCGCUCACUGGCUAAAUACUGACGCUAAGGCGCCGAAAGCGUGGGAGCAACAGGAU
rnacentral:rRNA from 1 species